GGGCGCAGAGAACGGGCCCCGACUUAGGAACGGGAGAAAACCACCCCCCUCGGUUCGCGUCUCGCGGGUUCCCGCGCAGCCUCACCCCGCUCGGGGCUGCGCUGGAGGGCGUCCCCCGGCCUCAGCAGGGCGGCGCCAGAGCGGACCGCUGCCCCAGCUGCUGGAGGCGGUGACGCAGCUCACGUUCCCGGGCACGCGCAGGGCUGUUCCCGACAGGAAACGGCGGUACAGGGAAAAUCGGUCCCCGCAGGGACGCCAACCGAACAGAUGGCCGUGGGGGUCACACAGCAUCCCACCUGGAGCUCCACGCUGCACUCCCCAGUCUCCCCGCAGGCCCCGCUUCUGUGCAUCUCGCGGAGAAACCUCUCGCUGAGCUUAUUACCUCCUCCGACACGUCUGGCCCGUCGGCUGACCGCGCACACCCGCCCUGACACAAGCUGACUCCCGAGAGCGUCCUGCCUCUGCUCCCGUACCAGCCCCCCCAGGGGACACCGCCGCCUCGGGUGUCGGACCAGCCGUGGCUCUAACUCCGGCAGCACCCCUUCCACCUGCCCGCAUGCAGGCCUCUCCGCCACGGCUCCGAAGAGCUCGGGGCACCCCACGCAAACAGAGAACAAAGGUGGCACGUCCUCUACUGAGCACAUCCUCGGUCCAGCUCCCCCGCCCUGAACUAGGCAUCUACUCUGUGUCCUCUCUCCUGUCCCUUGUCCACACCCCGUGUCAGCGCCAGGGGAACAGGGCCCAGGCGACUAUGCCCAGCAACUCCCACAGCACCCAGCGGUCAGGGGCCUGCUCACAAACGCUGCGUGUCCGCGAGUCACGCACUUACAGGCCAUUAGCAACUAGAUGGAGGGACGUGACUCCACUCCCAAAGACCCCAAGGCUGAUGAGCUGCUGGGCUCUGAGACAUCUCAUUCUUUGGCAGGCACCAGGAAAAGACAUUCCCUCUGAUCCGGAAGGAACCACCUCUUCUUCCAGUAACCACGCCCCAUGGCUCCAGAAUCCCACCCCUCGGGCUGCCGGGAGCCCAGAGCGAGAUCUACAGCCCUUUCCAGUCAGUGGGCAACAGCCAAGGUGGAGCACAAAGGCCCAACAGUCCCCGUGUCUAGCCUGGAGUCCCGGCUUUGUACCUCUCUCUCCUGUGUAACCCUGGGCAAGUCCUGACAUUUCUGUGCCUCAGUUUCCUCAUCCAUAAGUGGUGAUGAAGGAACAACAAUAAUUAGCAGUUGUACUGUUUGCUUCGUGCUGAUAAUGGCCAUGUGGUAAGUACUAUUAAUGUGGACCCAGCCUCUCUCCUGUGCCAGGCAGUCUUCUGAGCACCACAUACAUCUCGUCUGAUGCUGACAUCACUCUCAUCUUGCCCUCUCUGUAAAAGGCCCCUGGGCUGGUGCUGCAGACCCAGGCCCAUGGGAGUCAGAGGACCAAAGGCACGUGUGCUGGGCAUCUCCCAAGGGAGGAGAAAACAAGAGGAAGAGAGGGAGGUCAGGAUGUCCACCUGCUGCCCCCUUCGCUGUACAGCCCUCACUGGAAGGCCGCGGCCCCUCUUCCUCGCACUGCAGGCUAGCCCCUCUGUGGAUUGAGACAGCACAUCCCUCGGGAGUCCUAGGGAGCACACACAAAUAAAGGCGAGCGGUGUACCUCUUUCUGCAGCGGAACUUCUGGACUGGGGUUAGCACGGCCACGCCCAGCCGCUUCAUGACCAGACGGUAGUGAAUGUCGUUCCAGAGCUGCACCAGCUCCUGGCUGCCUCCGGGCACCUGGCAACCCUGCCGAGAAAACCCUGAUGAGACCCGGCCACCCUUGCCCAUCCUGCAGCGCUGCCCUCCAACCCGACCUGACCCUCGGGAGGAGCUGCUGGCUGGGGUGCCGGGCAGUGAGGGCAUGAGCCGCAGGGCCAGCACCCCAGUCCCGUCAGCCCUUCACCCCUCCCACAAAGCAGCUCUCAGUCACUCCUUCCAGGAGAGGGGCAGGAGGCAAGGGGAAGGUAAAUGACAAGCCUGGGGCCGUACAACACGCAAGAGGCAGAGCCACAGAGCCACGGAUUUGAGGGUUCAAGUUCUGACCCACAUCUUGCAUGAAAGACCUUUCUCCCCCACCCAGCAGGGCUGCCGCCUUCAGGGCUCAGUGAGUGCAUUUUGAGCCAAGAGGGAUGAAGGGGUUCUGGUCUGUGCCCACCACAUUCACCAGUCCAGUGCAGCCUGUCCACACAACCGGAGUCCGGAGAUGGCCAAGGAUGCCUGGUGCUGGCCUCCCCAACACAGCCCCUGCGGUCAGCGUGUGGGUCCCACAUUCAGCUCCAACGUUCUCAGGAUCACUUGAUUUGAAAAGCUGAGCCCGUCUGACUCACAGGUGUUAUGUUAGGUGUCGUGGAUCCUGUCCUAAGCACAACAGAGGUGGCCCCUCCCUCAAGGGCCUGCAGUGCAGCAAAAGAACGGAGGAAGGAGCCACAGGGUGAACAAGACUUUACACUGGAGAAUAAAGGGGGCACUGCCCAGACAGGGUGACAUUUACAGCAGAAGCUGAGAAGAAAGAAAGGCACCAGCCGCAGAGAGAGCCGGGCUCCGGCCUCUGGCAGAGGGAGCAGCACGUGCUGAGGUCCUAAGACGGGGAAACAUCUUGGGAGUAACAGCAAGGAAGCAGCAUGGCGACUGUGAGGAGAGCAGGGAGAGUCUGACGGAGAGACUAGAGAGCACGCAAGCUCAGAUGACGGGCUCAGGGGCACACCAUGGCCCACCUGUUGUUUGCCAACUCUGGCUGCCCCGUGAAGAACAAAUCAAGGGGACAGGACGGGACUACACAGCCUGUGGGGAAGGGAGUGGAAACUGAAAGAACUGAGUAUCUCGGGGCGCCUUGGUGGCUCAGUUGGUGAAGUGUCUACCUAGGGCUCAGGUCAUGAUCCUGGAGUCCUGGGAUCGAGUCCCACGUCAGGCUCCCUGCUCACUAGGGUGUCUGCUUCUCCCU